rnacentral:rRNA from 1 species
GAGGAAUAUUGGUCAAUGGGCGAGAGCCUGAACCAGCCAAGUCGCGUGAAGGAAGAAGGAUCUAUGGUUCGUAAACUUCUUUUUUAGGGGAAUAAAGUGCGGUACGUGUACCGUUUUGUAUGUACCCUACGAAUAAGGAUCGGCUAACUCCGUGCCAGCAGCCGCGGUAAUACGGAGGAUCCAAGCGUUAUCCGGAUUUAUUGGGUUUAAAGGGUGCGUAGGCGGGCCCAUAAGUCAGUGGUGAAAGUUUGCAGCUCAACUGUAAAAUUGCCAUUGAAACUGUGGGCCUUGAGUGUAAAUGAGGUAGGCGGAAUGUGUUGUGUAGCGGUGAAAUGCUUAGAUAUGACACAGAACACCGAUUGCGAAGGCAGCUUACUAAGAUACAACUGACGCUGAGGCACGAAAGCGUGGGGAUCGAAC